UAGGGAAUCUUCCACAAUGGACGCAAGUCUGAUGGAGCAACGCCGCGUGAGUGAAGAAGGUUUUCGGACCGUAAAGCUCUGUUGUUGGUGAAGAAGGAUAGAGGUAGUAACUGGCCUUUAUUUGACGGUAAUCAACCAGAAAGUCACGGCUAACUACGUGCCAGCAGCCGCGGUAAUACGUAGGUGGCAAGCGUUGUCCGGAUUUAUUGGGCGUAAAGCGAGCGCAGGCGGAAGAAUAAGUCUGAUGUGAAAGCCCUCGGCUUAACCGAGGAAUUGCAUCGGAAACUGUUUUUCUUGAGUGCAGAAGAGGAGAGUAGAACUCCAUGUGUAGCGGUGGAAUGCGUAGAUAUAUGGAAGAAUACCAGUGGCGAAGGCGGCUCUCUGGUCUGCAACCGACGCUGAGGCUCGAAAGCAUGGGUAGCGAACAGGAUUAGAUACCCUGGUAGUCCAUGCCGUAAACGAUGAGUGCUAAGUGUUGGGAGGCUUCCGCCUCUCAGUGCUGCAGCUAACGCAUUAAGCACUCCGCCUGGGGGG
rnacentral:rRNA from 1 species